AGCGGGAUGGAGCAGCCAGGAGUGCUCGCAGGGCUCAUAACCCUGAGGUCGGAGGUUCAAAUCCUCUUCCCGCUACCA
rnacentral:tRNA from 1 species